rnacentral:rRNA from 1 species
CGUUGCCUAAGAUGGAGCCGCGGCCGAUCAGGUUGUUGGUGAGGUAAUGGCUCACCAAGCCUAUAACCGGUACGGGCCAUGAGAGUGGGAGCCCGGAGAUGGGCACUGAGACAAGGGCCCAGGCCCUACGGGGCGCAGCAGUUGCGAAACCUCCACAAUGCACGAAAGUGCGAUGGGGCUAACCCGAGUGCCGUCCGCUGAGGAGGGCUUUUCUCCGCUGUAAGGAGGCGGAGGAAUAAGGAGAGGGCAAGACUGGUGUCAGCCGCCGCGGUAAUACCAGCUCUCCGAGUGGUAGGGACGAUUAUUGGGCCUAAAGCGUUCGUAGCCGGCUUGGCAAGUCUCUCGUUAAAUCCAGUGACCUAAUCGCUGGGCUGCGGGAGAUACUGUCAGGCUUGGGAGCGGAAGAGGUCGACGGUAUUCUCGGGGUAGGGGUGAAAUCCUGUAAUCCCGGGAGGACCACCAGUGGCGAAGGCUGUCGACUAGAACGCGUCCGACGGUGAGGGACGAAAGCUGGGGGAGCGAACCGGAUUAGAUACCCGGGUAGUCCCAGCUGUAAACUAUGCGGGCUAGGUGUCAGUGUGGCUACGAGCCACUCUGGUGCCGCAGGGAAGCUCAUAAGCCCGCCGCCUGGGAAGUACGG